rnacentral:rRNA from 1 species
CGCCGUUUGGGUAAGAAGCGGCCCAAAAUGAGUAGGAGGGCGUGGCGGUCUCUUUUGUGAGGAAGGUGUGGGCGCAAGCCCCACUGGAACGGCCGCUAGUGCAGAUCUUGGUGGUAGUAGCAAAUAUUCAAGCGAGAUCCUUGAAGGGCGAAGUGGGGAAGGGUUCCACGCGAACAUUGAUUGGGCGUGGGUGAGUCGUUCCUAAGCCGGGUGGUAAUCGUUCUCACGAUCGGCGAAAGGGAAGCGGGUUAAAAUUCUCGCACACGGAUGUGGAGGCGGUGACGCAAACCGAGGCAGAGACGUCGGUGACGGCGCUGGGCAGAGUUGUCUUUUCUGUUUGACCUGGUCAUGGCAUGGUGUGGAAUCCGAUUAUCGGGAGAAACACAUGCCUAGGGGCAGAGCGCCGGGAUUUUCCGGCGUCCAGCACGCCGUCAACGACCCUUGAAAAUCUGUCUGCGAUAGUUGGGGGGAGAAACGCCGCUAAUAAUAUUACCAAAUAUUGUUAACGGAAGUGCCUUGCUCUCAGAACAAUUUCACGCCGUG